rnacentral:rRNA from 1 species
CCUACGGGAGGCAGCAGUGAGGAAUAUUGGUCAAUGGGCUUACGCCUGAACCAGCCAAGUCGCGUGAGGGAAGACUGCCCUAUGGGUUGUAAACCUCUUUUGUCAGGGAGCAACGCCGGCUACGUGUAGCCGGACUGAGAGUACCUGAAGAAACCGCAUCGGCUAACUCCGUGCCAGCAGCCGCGGUAAUACGGAGGCUGCGAGCGUUAUCCGGAUGUACUGGGGGUAAAGGGGGCGCAGGCGGCAGCGCAAGCCGGGCGUGAAAGCCCGGGGCCCAACCCCGGGACUGCUCUGGGAACUGCGCGGCUGGAGUGCAGGAGGGGCAGGCGGAAUUCCUGGUGUAGCGGUGAAAUGCGUAGAUAUCAGGAGGAACACCGGUGGCGAAGGCGGCCUGCUGGACUGCGACUGACGUUGAGGCCCGAAAGCGUGGGGAGCAAACAGGAUUAGAUACCCCAGUAGUC